rnacentral:rRNA from 1 species
AUACGGAGGGUGCAAGCGUUACUCGGAAUCACUGGGCGUAAAGCGCGCGCAGGCGGGCUGAUAAGUUGGAUGUGAAAGCCUACGGCUCAACCGCAGAACUGCAUCCAAAACUGUCAGUCUAGAGUCUGGGAGGGGAAGAUGGAAUUAGUUGUGUAGGGGUAAAAUCCGUAGAGAUAACUAGGAAUACCAAAAGCGAAGGCGAUCUUCUGGAACAGUACUGACGCUGAGGCGCGAAAGCGUGGGGAGCAAACAGGAUUAGAAACCCUAGUAGUCC